rnacentral:misc_RNA from 1 species
UGUGGGGUUAAGGACUUAUAGAAGAAAGGGAGGGAGAGAUCACAUUUACAAACUUAUAUAAGCUUUCCAUGAAGGAUUACAUGAGUGCACCAAAAUACACUUCCAUGCUAUGUAAGCUUUUAUGAAAUGCCCCAAGGGGGGAAAACAAAAGAACAAGGAUUCACAAUAAUAUUCUUCUGGAGAGUCCCAAAUAUAAAAAUAGAAAACCUGAACUUCUAGUGCC